rnacentral:misc_RNA from 1 species
GAUGAAGAACGUAGCGAAAUGCGAUACGUAAUGUGAAUUGCAGAAUUCAGUGAAUCAUCGAGUCUUUGAACGCACAUUGCGCCCCCUGGUAUUCCGGGGGGCAUGCCUGUCCGAGCGUCAUUGCUGCCCUCAAGCACGGCUUGUGUGUUGGGCCUCCGUCCUCCUCCCGGGGGACGGGCCCGAAAGGCAGCGGCGGCACCGCGUCCGGUCCUCGAGCGUAUGGGGCUUCGUCACCCGCUCUUGUAGGCCCGGCCGGCGCUUGCCGACACAUCAAUCUUUUUUCCAGGUUGACCUCGGAUCAGGUAGGGAUACGCGCUGAACUUAAGCAUAUCAAUAAGCGGAGGA